rnacentral:rRNA from 1 species
AAGGUGGGGGGGGUGCUAUACAUGCAAGUCGAACGCUUUGUGGUUCAACUGAUUUGAAGAGCUUGCUCAGAUAUGACGAUGGACAUUGCAAAGAGUGGCGAACGGGUGAGUAACACGUGGGAAACCUACCUCUUAGCAGGGGAUAACAUUUGGAAACAGAUGCUAAUACCGUAUAACAAUGACAACCGCAUGGUUGUUAUUUAAAAGAUGGUUCUGCUAUCACUAAGAGAUGGUCCCGCGGUGCAUUAGCUAGUUGGUAAGGUAAUGGCUUACCAAGGCGAUGAUGCAUAGCCGAGUUGAGAGACUGAUCGGCCACAAUGGGACUGAGACACGGCCCAUACUCCUACGGGAGGCAGCAGUAGGGAAUCUUCCACAAUGGGCGAAAGCCUGAUGGAGCAACGCCGCGUGUGUGAUGAAGGGUUUCGGCUCGUAAAACACUGUUGUAAGAGAAGAAUGACAUUGAGAGUAACUGUUCAAUGUGUGACGGUAUCUUACCAGAAAGGAACGGCUAAAUACGUGCCAGCAGCCGCGGUAAUACGUAUGUUCCAAGCGUUAUCCGGAUUUAUUGGGCGUAAAGCGAGCGCAGACGGUUAUUUAAGUCUGAAGUGAAAGCCCUCAGCUCAACUGAGGAAUUGCUUUGGAAACUGGAUGACUUGAGUGCAGUAGAGGAAAGUGGAACUCCAUGUGUAGCGGUGAAAUGCGUAGAUAUAUGGAAGAACACCAGUGGCGAAGGCGGCUUUCUGGACUGUAACUGACGUUGAGGCUCGAAAGUGUGGGUAGCAAACAGGAUUAGAUACCCUGGUAGUCCACACCGUAAACGAUGAGUGCUAGGUGUUUGAGGGUUUCCGCCCUUAAGUGCCGCAGCUAACGCAUUAAGCACUCCGCCUGGGGAGUACGACCGCAAGGUUGAAACUCAAAGGAAUUGACGGGGACCCGCACAAGCGGUGGAGCAUGUGGUUUAAUUCGAAGCAACGCGAAGAACCUUACCAGGUCUUGACAUCCCUUGACAACUCCAGAGAUGGAGCGUUCCCUUCGGGGACAAGGUGACAGGUGGUGCAUGGUUGUCGUCAGCUCGUGUCGUGAGAUGUUGGGUUAAGUCCCGCAACGAGCGCAACCCUUAUUACUAGUUGCCAGCAUUCAGUUGGGCACUCUAGUGAGACUGCCGGUGACAAACCGGAGGAAGGUGGGGAUGACGUCAAAUCAUCAUGCCCCUUAUGACCUGGGCUACACACGUGCUACAAUGGCGUAUACAACGAGUUGCCAACCCGCGAGGGUGAGCUAAUCUCUUAAAGUACGUCUCAGUUCGGAUUGUAGGCUGCAACUCGCCUACAUGAAGUCGGAAUCGCUAGUAAUCGCGGAUCAGCACGCCGCGGUGAAUACGUUCCCGGGUCUUGUACACACCGCCCGUCACACCAUGAGAGUUUGUAACACCCAAAGCCGGUGGGGUAACCUUCGGGAGCCAGCCGUCUAACGCG